GUUGAGGUCUAUCCUGAUGGGGCUUUUUCCGUAAACCUACAUUGUUGGAAAUGCCUCAGAGUAACUGUGUACUUUCCUUUACUUUAGAACUACCUGUUAGAUCUGUGGGAAAGAACUACAAGACAGAG
ensembl:snoRNA